GAUGAACGCUGGCGGCGUGCCUAAUACAUGCAAGUCGAGCGAACAGAUAAGGAGCUUGCUCCUUUGACGUUAGCGGCGGACGGGUGAGUAACACGUGGGUAACCUACCUAUAAGACUGGGAUAACUUCGGGAAACCGGAGCUAAUACCGGAUAAUAUUUCGAACCGCAUGGUUCGAUAGUGAAAGAUGGUUUUGCUAUCACUUAUAGAUGGACCCGCGCCGUAUUAGCUAGUUGGUAAGGUAACGGCUUACCAAGGCGACGAUACGUAGCCGACCUGAGAGGGUGAUCGGCCACACUGGAACUGAGACACGGUCCAGACUCCUACGGGAGGCAGCAGUAGGGAAUCUUCCGCAAUGGGCGAAAGCCUGACGGAGCAACGCCGCGGGAGUGAUGAAGGUCUUCGGAUCGUAAAACUCCGUUAUUAGGGAAGAACAUACGUGUAAGUAACUGUGCACGUCUUGACGGUACCUAAUCAGAAAGCCACGGCUAACUACGUG
rnacentral:rRNA from 1 species